GUUUUACGUCGUUAAGCUUUCUCCUCUCGAGUCGAUCUCCGAUGCGUUCACGGCAUACGAUAGAAUGAUCUGGUUACAAGGAAACUACACGGAAAAGUUGAAUUUCACAAAUUUGAAGAACCGUUCAAGAGGAUAUAAAAAAUAGAAAAGGAGGAUCCGAAAGAAAAUGUGGAAUCGUUUAAUCCAUCAAUUAUUUUAAGAAGAUAUACCAUUACAUGAUUAUAACAUAAUAACUGUAUUCAACCCGAUAUAUAACAAUAUGAUACAUAAUAUAAAGUUCUAAGAGAAA